rnacentral:rRNA from 1 species
AACCUGCCCUMARUUUGGGACAACUACCGRAAACRGUAGCUAAUACCGAAUAGUUGUUUUCUUCGCCUGAAGGAAACUGGAAAGACGGAGCAAUCUKUCACUUGGGGAUGGGCCUGCGGCGCAUUAKCUAGUUGGUGGGGUAACGGCUCACCAAGGCGACGAUGCGUAGCCGACCUGAGAGGGUGAUCGGCCACACUGGGACUGAGACACGGCCCAGACUCCUACGGGAGGCAGCAGUAGGGAAUCUUCCGCAAUGGGCGAAAGCCUGACGGAGCAAUGCCGCGUGAGUGAUGAAGGUUUUCGGAUCGUAAAGCUCUGUUGCCAGGGAAGAACGCUUGGGAGAGUAACUGCUCUCAAGGUGACGGUACCUGAGAAGAAAKCCCCGGCUAACUACGUGCCAGCAGCCGCGGUAAUACGUAGGGGGCAAGCGUUGUCCGGAAUUAUUGGGCGUAAAKCGCGCGSAGGCGGUCAUUUAAGUCUGGUGUUUAAUCCCGGGGCUCAACCCCGGAUCGCACUGGAAACUGGGUGACUUGAGUYCMAGAAGAGGAGAGUGGGAAUUCCACGUGUWGCGGUGAAAAUGCG